UCUAAUAGAUAAACAAUGUCUCAAUAGGUUAUUGAUUCCCCGUCGAAGUAGAGCAACUAUUUAUAGCAAUUACACCUAGCUAAAGUUCAAUAUAAAUACGAUAGAUUUAUAUGCAAAAUAACUAUACUUGCAGACUUUCCACCUCACUUUAGGUUGGUGCUUUCACAAAUUAAGAACACACAGAGUCUCUUUUCCUCACGGACGAUACAACAAUGGAAGCUUCCGGAACGCCAGUGGAUUAUGACAGAAUGUCUAUUAUUUCCCGAGCAAGCACUGCUGUAUCACAGCUACCUAAAAAGGACUUUCAGGAAAUGAAAAGUUUUGCUAACCCACCUGUAGCUGUAAUAGAUGUGUUGUCAGCCUCCAUGUUAUUAUUAGGGCAUAAGGAUUCAGAAACUAAUUGGAAAAUGAUUAAAAGUUGUCUUGGAAAAACCGGGAAAGAAUCGGUACAAGAGAGAGUGGCAGCCCUUGACGUGGAGAAAAUACCAGAGAAGAAUCUAAAGAAGGCCAAAGAUAUACUGGCAAAAUAUGAUUUAAACGGGAUAGCAAACGUCAGUCAAGCAUUAAAGGAAUUAUAUAUUUGGGCUGGUGCCGUGACAGACGACUAGGUGAAAAUAAAGUGCUUCAUGUAAAAUAUGCAAUAAGGGGAUGUUAUUGAUAAGCUUUCAAACAAAAGUACGAAACAAUACAGUCUUAGAGGAAACUAAAGGGCGUUCCAUAUAUAAUGUUUCUACGAUAAUUGUUCAAAACUUUUCUUGUGUACAAGGACAGAACAGAACAGUUAUAUACUUUGCCAGAGUGCAAUAUUGGUUGAUCUACAUUUGUAUUGAAUAAAAGUAUAAUAUAUCUGAACGGGUUUCAAAAUAAAUAACUAAAGGGAAGGACAGUCUCUAAUGUUGUCAGAAUUUGCCGUCCGAUCAUUUUGCCCUUUGAUUAUAUAUGUUGAAAUGGCAAAAUGCUAGGAUAAAUAGAUCUGCUUUUACGCUGAGUGCAACAGCAUCUAGACAUUGUAAGGAUUUUAACACUUUGCAUACAUUGAUUGUAACAUGGAUUGUAACUUUAAUAUUUAUCAGUGGUAACAGUGCUAUACAGACCACCACCAACAAAAGAAAGUGGCGUUAAUGUAAGCGUGUUUUAGAUAUAACAAAAAAAUGACAUAUGUUUCCGGCCAGAUAUGGAACACUUGAUAAGGACAUUAAAAUGCACAUACCCGCUAAUAUCCAUUGUAAUAUAGUCACCUAAAUCUCAUAUUCUCUUUCCGUCUUCCCUGUAUGUUACACUUAUAUAAGUAUUAUAAUGUCAUAUUAUGAAUUUCAGAUACAGACAUGUAAAAUAAUGUAAUUUGUGUAAUGUUUUGAAUACAUGUAUGAAAUAAUAACAGUGGAGACCUCAGUUUUUAUCUUGACAUUCCAUCAGAUCGAAAUGCCACAAUAUUUGUCAGAGUUGUUGUGGCGGUUGAAUUGUUCAUACAAAGUUGAAAGAAUACCUAGCACUUUUUCCCACUUACUGUGGACUUAAUCAACAGAUUGAUUUGUUACAUGUGUGAUAUUCAGUGUAUCUGGCGUGACUGUAACGAUUGUCGUCCCUGCACAUUUACAAGUGUUUUUCAGUUAUUUCGAUGUUGAGGAUAACAUUGUAUCUUCAAUUAGAAAAUGACGCAUAUUCUUUCAAGCAGGACUUUUUGCGUCUAUUGCACUAAAAAAACUCCCCCAGGCACAGGUGGAUCAGCUGGUGAGUGCAUAUAUAAAUGGAUGAUGAGAACAUAGUCAUCUCCACACUUCGACCCUACAGACGAACUAAAUGAUGUUAAACAUUUAAAAGGCAAACCGGAGUGCAAGUACUUACAAUCGAUUAUUACAUUAACAGAGAUCAAUGUUUAAAUGUUCAGAAGCCUGUAUGAAAUUUGCAUACUGGUUAAAUAGUGAAAUAUUUGAUACCCGUAUGUCCAAAAGGCAGUAGUUCGAAUUAUCAUUAGAACAUCGCACCACGUACAGUCAUAUUACAACUGUUCAGAAGUAGUUACUCAUUUGGUUACCCGGGAAAUACAAAACCCAGUACUAAAUAGCGACCAUACCAACAGCCGCAAUGUAAUCUACAAUACGGAAGCAUAGAAUGGUACGGAACCACACUUGAAUGCGAAAGAAUAUGAAUUAUAAGUAAUAGAAAAUUCCUUGCAAAAU